rnacentral:misc_RNA from 1 species
AAUUAAAAAGCGAAUGUAUCUUAGUCAUUAGAGAUAACCUACAUAAAACAUAACAGAGUUGCACAAUCAGAUCAGAAAUUGUAAAGUUUGAAUGGUAAAAUCUAUGUAUAUUGCAUAAUUAGAUCAAUACAAUACAUAUACUACAAUUGCGCAUUCUAACUAGGAAUCUAACUUCUAUAAUUAUGCCCUAAAUAGCAACACAAUCCUAACUAAUUUAGGAACAUAUACAUAACAGCACGAACAAUUACAUAUAUAAUGACCGUCCAUCUAUGCAUUAAAAUGAGCAAUUCAAGAAAGAAGGUAAAACAUUACCUGUUGUUAUUGAAGUUUCA